UACGGAGGGGGCUAGCGUUGUUCGGAAUUACUGGGCGUAAAGCGCACGUAGGCGGCUUUGUAAGUUAGAGGUGAAAGCCCGGGGCUCAACUCCGGAAUUGCCUUUAAGACUGCAUCGCUAGAAUUGUGGAGAGGUAAGUGGAAUUCCGAGUGUAGAGGUGAAAUUCGUAGAUAUUCGGAAGAACACCAGUGGCGAACGGCGGACUUACUGGACACAU
rnacentral:rRNA from 1 species